GAGCCUGCAUUAAUUGUUUUUUUUCCACACUGUGUAUAAAACGAUAUUUGAAAUGCUCUUCACUGAAAAGAUGGGUGACCUAACUCUGGGAAACAUAAAGGAACAGAAGAACAAUAGAGAAUUGAUCACUUACAAUUCUUUAUUGAUCCUAUGUUUUGUCAACACCAACCAUCGCUUCCCAACAAAAACAAUAAUCACCUAUCCUGCAUUGUAGGAGAGCCUGGAUGAAGUUGGGAAUAUGAAUGAGUGGUAGAAGGAAGUACCAAUAAAGCAAAUAACUGGAUAGACUUAAA